GUUUGAGGUGUUGAAUUUCAGAUGCAUCUUGGCAUUCGUCUGUGGUCUUAUGUCCGCAAAGAAGCUUCUCAAGGAAGGGUAGCUAUCAGCUAAUCAUUUUUCCCAAUAUUUGGCUAUAGUGUGAUUGAUCAUGUUUCUAAAUUUGUUUUUUUUCUUUCAAAAAACUCCAUAGCUAAACUGCUGAACCCUUUCUUUUCAAUGUUUAUAUAUGCAGAAAGCGCCUAUUGAUCCAUUCACACGAGAAAGAUGCAAGCCCUCAGCUUCUCUAGGAGUUCCCCUUGGAGGAAUGGGGUAUGUUACAUUUUGGAUUUAUGGUGGCAAGAGCACAUUAUUGAGAAGACUCCAUUUUAAAAGUUGAUCUCUAUUAUGCAGAAGUGGUAGCAUAUCAAGGGGUUUCAGAGGGGAGUUUAAGAAUUGGCAAAUCAUUCCUGGUUCAUGUGAAUUGUCACCUGUCAUGGCAAAUCAGUUCUCUGUAAUGUUUGAUCUUUGGUUUGGUUUCUAGUACUAAUAUUUUGUUACUUGCCAUCUCAUUGCAUGUUUUGAUGUUCUGUUUGUUCAAUGGGCAUUUUAAUAAUCAGAUAACUUUAACAAUGAUAACUAUGAUCAUAACAGGAAAAGCUUAUAACUUAUCAUUUCAGUUGGUUUUCUGAUAUCUUCUCUGUUGUUUCUUUCUAUUAGGACACCAAAUACGUUAGCUGCUUACUCUAUUUAAAAGUGGUGAUUUUUUGGCCUUCUCUCUAACAUUGAAAAAUGUAGGAAACAAAGUUAAGAGAAUGCUUAGGGACAGAGGUCUUAAUACCCAAAUUUUAUAUGUAGAAGUCCACUUGAUCCACCGAUUUGGGAUUUGUUGCUGCUAAGAUGACCAUGCGAAGUAUGGAUUGAGUAAUGAAGCUCAUGAAAAAAAAUUGCUUAUAAUUGUUUUUUUUGAUACUUGAAUUUCAUAUUUAACUUUUGCCAACUCUUAACAGAUCCACUACCAAAACCUUCGGUAUUUGAUGUAUACAAUAUUCUUGUAGUUACUAUCAAAUAGAACUAUUGAAUUGGAAACUUUUUGCACAAUUCUUUUCUCUCACACCUAGAGUUCUCCGUGGAGGAAUCUGGUUUUAGACUCUUUCUUUUUUUGGUGGAGCUACUUCCAGCUAUGAUACAAUUGUGACUGACAUAACAUAUACAUUUAGGUUAGUAGGCCAUAACUUGUCCAAUGCUUUUCUUCCAACUCGGGAACUUAUGUUGCUUCUGUGCUGCAGAUUUUUAUAUCCAGAAAUGGAGGAAACAAAAGGUACUCAUCCGUCUUAGCCCCUGGCCAACAUGAGGGGAUUGAGUAAGAAUAUCGUCCUUGUAGUUUAUUUUAAUCAGCUGCUAUUUGCUUUUUUUUUUUAAUUACAUUUCUUAGGAAAACGUAUUAAAAUUAUACUUGAACUAAUUUAAUGUUGUGGAAGAUUAGUCUUAUUGUCACUGUACAUGCCCAAACCAUGUUAUUUAUACUCAGUUAAUGCUCUUCCUCUGCUUACUUUGAGGUAUUCAAGCCCAAUCUCGUCAUUCCUGAAGUAUAUCAAUGUCCACCUUAGCAUUUAUAUAUUUGUCACUCUUACAUAAUAUUCUAGGAUUUUGUUUCCUUCCCUUUUUCUUUUUCUUUUUCUUUUCUUUUUUGGUUGAUUGCCCGAUAUCCUAAAACAUACAACUUUGUGGGCAUUUUCUAGUGUUAAAUAUACUCCUUGCACUAGUGGCAUGUGUUGAGUAUCUCAAAGUGUUUGACAGGCUUCACCAUCUAAAAGUCCAAACACUAUGACAUUAAAUAUAAAAAUACAGAGAUAGAUACAUGUGCCAAAACAUGUCAACUAGCAGACUAAGUUGUCUAUUGAUACUUUCUGUUAAAAGUUUAUAACUAGUGCCGGAUAGCAUUAAUGAGAAAGCAACAAAAUGUCCGCCCUUUGACCAUAGACUAGAAGUGCCCAUAAAGUUGAGGUUAAUAUGGUCCAGGCGGUCCAGCAUUCAAAAUGUUUAGGUACUAAAGUUCCAUCACCUGCAUUGAAGGGCCAGUUGGGAGGACCCUUUUAAAAGCAGAGGCAUGUGCUGACUGGUUCAAGUAGUGCACUCCAUUCGCUGUCGUAUUGGUCUGUGUGUCCCUUCCUCUUCAUCCUCUCUUUACUAGAGUUAAGCAACACAAUAAUAACAAUAGGGUAUAUCUGAACCAUCACAUUUGAUAGAGCCGACAUAUGGAUUUAUUUCCAUUGGAAUGGUGGAGUUGCAUUGAACAUUCAACAGACUUUCAGACUGUAACUUCCAAUGUACAAUUUUUGUUUUAUGGCAUGGUAUACCUUUUCAUUUUUCUCCUUUCAUUUUUAGGAAAUUUGGUGAUCAGGGUAUAUCAUCAUGGGAUUGGAACUUGAGUGGUCAGCAUUCCACAUACCAUGCUUUAUUUCCUAGAGCAUGGACUAUCUAUGAUGGUACUGUUAACUGAUAUCUGUUUUCUAGUUGCUCAAUUUUUCGUUUACUGUAGUGUUUAUGUAUAACUUCAUGGACCUAUUAUCGUCAUAUCUAAUCUAUAAUGAUUUUUCUAGUUUUCUUUUACUAGGUGAACCUGAUCCAGAUCUCAAAAUUUCAUGCCGUCAAAUAUCACCAUUCAUACCUCAUGAUUACCGGGAAAGCAGCCUUCCUGCAUCAGUGUUUGUUUACACUGUAUGUAUUAUUAACUUGAUACUGUGGCUAUGUAUUCUCAAUAUUGCCAUUUCAGUACAUUUCAACAGAAUAUUCAUCAUUUUGUACACUUAAAAGAAUUCUUUUCACAUUCUCAUGGCUGACAUUGGUGGAGAUUCUUUCUAAAUCAUAUAUCAUUUUGGAUAAAUUUCCACUAAUUUUGUAAAUCACAUCAUAACAUGGGGUUUGCUGAGAAGUUCUCAACCAUGAAAUCGCCUUUGUGUGUUGAUUUGGUGAUUCGGGGUAUCAUGAAGUGAAUUACGUAGUGUAUGUUUAUGUCAUCUUAUGUGAAUAAUCGAGCAUAAUUUUUUUUUCCCUAGGUCAUGUCUGUAUUGAAUUACUGCUUCUCUAUUGUAGCUAGUGAAUUCUGGGAGAGAAAGAGCAAAAGUCAGCUUGCUUAUGACCUGGGCGGUUUGUCAUUUUUCCCUUAACAUCUAUUCCCACCUCAUGUUACAUACAUCCUUGUUAUUUUUUAAUAUCUUAUUUUUAUUUAUCUGUACUUUUAAUUUUUCACAGAAUUCUAUUGGUGGAAUUUCUCAUCAAUCUGGCGGCCAUAUCAAUGAGCCAUUUAUGUGAGUGAUGCACUGAUGCCUAAUGGCUUUCUUUGUUACUUCUCCUCACCAGGUGUCUUUUGCGCUAAUUGAGUCUUCAUUUUCCUAUGCAGAGGAAGAGAUGGAGUCUCUGGGGUGCUUUUACAUCACAAGCAAGUUGUCAAUCUUUGAUUCCUUUAUUUUGAGUUGACUUAUUUCAUUUCUUGUGGCCCUAGUAACUUCACGCCUUCAUCAGUUCUUUUCCCCCUUUAUUGGAGAUGUUCACUUUUCACCAUUUCAUGUUCUCAUUUGUAUGCUGGAUGUUUGUAUAUUGUAUGGAUAGAUUCCUUCAGUUACGCUCUUUCUUGUUUAUUAUUGCCGAGAUCUGUUUUAAUCUUAAUUGAAUCUGGCAUAGUAGAAAGAUUUCUUAAUGUGAUUUGAAAAAUUGCAGGACCGCAAAUGAUAACCCGCAUGUUACUUUUGCUAUUGCUGCAUGUGAAACUCAAAAUGUCAGUGUGACAGUUCUUCCAAGUUUUGGGCUUUCCGGAGAAAGUUGUGUUACAGCUAGGGACAUGUGGGGUACUAUGGUUCAGGUAAUGUUCCUGUGGUGUUAGAUAAUUUUCUUGAAAACACUCUAUAUGUUGCUCUAGAUUGUACUCUUUUAUGGCUACUUAAAGAUCUCAUAUAUUCUGGAAGUAUGAAGAUUGCUGUAUGCUCUAACAAAUUUUCUAAUUUAUUAUCAGUAUGUUGUGUGCGUGUGUGUAUCAGCGUUUUUUAUUAGAUUUUGGAGGACCAACAUAAAUAUCAAAAUCUUCUAGUUUUUUAAUUUCUUAUUUCUUGGCUUGUAUUCUGUCGUCCUUUUUCCUUUUCAUUUGCAGAGAUUUGUUGCUUACAUGUCAAAAACAAUUGUUGGUGCAUCUUAUAUAGUUUGACAUAUUGGCUGCAUAUAUAGGCCUGAUGCCAUAUGCUUUGCGACUAUUUGAAACUGAUGCGCUUUUAAUAUCUCAAGGAUGGAUGUUUUGAUUGGGAGAAUUUCAAUGCUGGUCCUUGUAUGCCAUGUUUGCCUGGAGAGACUCUUUGUGCAGCAGUUUCAGCUUCCACCUGGGUCGAACCUCAUGCAAAAUGCACUAUUGCAUUUGCUUUGGCUUGGUCAUCUCCUAAAGUGAAGUUUCAGAAGGGCGGUGCUUAUCACAGGUACUUUGCUGUCAUCCCUGUUCGAUGUUUCACUAUAAUUAAAUAUACAAGUGAUUUGUUAUAGUUCAAACUUGUAUUAGUUUUACUUCAUUGCUAUGGCUGCAAUGAUUUAUAUUCUAUCUUCCAUGUCCUUAAACUCGCUUUAUAUAUGCACACAUUCAUGCAUGAACAGAAGUGAGGGAUGCACUGGUCUUUAACACAGCCUUCUAUUUUCUAGUGUUCGUGAUUUCGAUUCAAAUUGAUGUAUUUAAUUAAGAAUUAAAUUACUCAAACAUGGAAAUGAUUAUUGAAUUUCAGUCCAUCUGACUUGCUAAGAAAUAUUCAAUUUUAAAGGCUCUAUUAUGUCCUUACUUUUUUGUACUGCAGGAGAUACACAAAGUUUUAUGGAACUUCAGAAAGAUCAGCUGUCGAUUUGGUGCAUGAUGCAUUGACAAGUACGUAUAUCCAUGGUCAUAGUUUUCUCGUAUCAAUGCCUUGCAACUUCCUUAUCAUUGCGAAAACUCAAAAUCACUCAUAUGCUGACAUGCUGUAAUCAGAUCUUCUCUUUUGCUUUUGGUAAUUUGUAAGAUUUUUUGGAAUCUUUUGGAUGCAGUUUGUUGAACUACAUUAAAUCAUUUGAUAACACAAAUCUGAUACAAUUUUUAUUAACUACAUAGAGUAUAAGUGGUGGGAGGAGGAGAUUGAGAAAUGGCAGAGUCCUAUCUUGAAGGAUGAAAGGCUUCCGGAGUGGUAAUUUUGACUCUUCUAGACCUGAUAAUAUAUGCUUUUUAAUCCAAAAAAAGUGUAGAUGUACUAGUAUGCAUAAUGGAGGUUUCCAUGAUCUAAUAACAGGCUUCCACGUCUCAACUCUGAUCUUCACAAAUUAUUCUUAGUUUUUUUUUUUUUUUGUAGAAAACUUCUCCACAAAUUAUUGCGAUUCACAGAAACGUGCAUUGUUUGAGUGAUUGCUUUUCUGUUACAGUUUAAAGUUUGCACUUUGGUCUUCAGUAUUUUUCCCUGAGGUGAUAUCUGAACAUAUUCAUCUAACGAUUGCAGGUACAAAUUCACUCUAUUUAAUGAACUUUACUUUCUAGUUGCCGGGGGAACAGUUUGGAUAGGUAAUUUGCUUAGCAUGAUUGUUUAUUUUUUGACAUUUUACUGAAUCCUGCAUGUUUUCUGCUUUCUUUUAUAUUAUUCUCUGAAGAUCUGAAGAUCUUCAAUUUUCAUGGCAUUCAUGCUUGCCAUUUGCUUUUUGGACCAUCCCAGUUAAUGUAAGCAUUGCGGUUUAAUUAAUUGUUACUUCUGAAGCAGGAACAUGUCAAGUCUUUAAAAUCUUGAUUUCAUCUUAAGUUGCCUUUGUUCCACACUUUCAUCACCAUUUAUCUUCCUUGGAGAACUGCCUGAGUAGUUUAGCCUGGUCACUUUCUUUAUUGCAGAUGGUGGUUCCAUUGCCGAAGAGAAUACCUGUCAGAACAAUUCCACAAUAAUAAUGAACAAGGAUGCAAGAAUUAUGUCUACAGAAAAUAGCAGCAUGGACCUGAUGGCUGAGCAUAGUGCUGCAUGUACUGGAAUGGAAAAUGCUGAUGCUAACGGGGUUCCAGGAUCUUUAAUUUCGCAAGACAACUCUUAUGAUGUUGGGAGAUUUUUGUAUCUUGAGGGAGUAGAAUAUGUCAUGUGGUGUACAUAUGAUGUCCACUUCUAUGCCUCUUAUGCACUUCUGUAUCUCUUUCCCAAAAUUGAAUUGAGCAUUCAGCGAGAUUUUGCCAGGGCUGUCUUGUUUGAGGACAGAAGAAAAGUGAAAUUCCUAGCAAGUGGUACAUGGGGAAUCCGUAAAGUCAAAGGAGCUGUUCCACAUGAUCUAGGAAUGCAUGAUCCUUGGUAUGAAAUGAAUGCUUAUAAUAUUCAUGACACUAGCAGAUGGAAGGACCUUAAUUCUAAAUAUGUCCUUCAAGUGUACAGGGAUUUUGCAGCAACUGGUGACAUGUCCUUUGGGAGGGAUGUCUGGCCAGCAGUUUGUGCUGCAAUGGAGUACGUGGAGCGGUUUGAUCGUGAUGGUGAUGGUCUUAUCGAGAAUGAUGGGUUCCCAGAUCAAACAUAUGAUACUUGGACAACUCAUGGCGUCAGUGCUUACUGUGGGUGCCUCUGGCUGGCAUCUCUCCAAGCCGCAGCAGCAAUGGCUCAUCAUCUUGGAGACACUGCUUUUGCUGAAAAAUUCCAGAUUAAAUUUUUGAAAGCUAAACCUGUGUUUGAAGCCAAACUGUGGAAUGGAUCAUACUUUAAUUAUGACAGUGGGAUGAGCAGAAACAGCCGAUCCAUACAGGCAGAUCAACUGGCAGGCCAAUGGUACACUGCUUCCUCGGGAUUGCCCUCGCUGUUUGAUGACACAAAAAUUAGAAGCACUCUUCAGAAGAUAUAUGAUUUCAAUGUGAUGAAGGUCAGAGGAGGGCGUAUAGGGGCAGUCAAUGGAAUGUUUCCUAAUGGAAGGGUCAACGACCAUUGCAUGCAAUCUCGUGAAAUAUGGACUGGGGUAACAUACAGUGUUGCAGCCACUAUGCUUCUUGCUGGAAUGGAGCAUCAAGCAUUUACUACCGCAGAAGGCAUUUUUACAGCAGGUUGGUCAGAGGAAGGAUUCGGGUAUGCUGUUAUCAUCUAAUUGCUUUGCAUAAUUGCAUUUUUGCCCUUGUGGCCCAUUCUCGAGUCAUUAGUCAUCUUUUAUUUUUUGAUUAAAAUUAGUCAUCUUUAAUUCAUUAGGUUUUAUUACAGUCUAUUCAGGUUAAUCUCGAAAAGCUGCUAUGGAAUUGGCAUCAGGGUUUUUCUUUAAGUUAUAUAUAUAUAAAAAAGUUAACAUAUAUUAGCUUUUUUUUUCCUGGUAAAAUAGCUGUCUUAAUAGGCUUUAGCUUAUCGCGAUCAGAUAAUGAACCAUUUAGUCAUGUGGCACUUGUUCUGCAUGCCAGCAAUAAUGUUGGCUUGUCCACCCCCAUAUUUUUGCCAUCAUAUAAGACCAGUGUUGUAUGUGUCAUAUGCAUGUGAGAGGAAGCAUGAUGUCUAUGAUCCUGAUGAAAAAUUUUUAUUAAUUAUGUUCACACGUGCUCUGAAUUUUGGCCCGUGCACUUCUCUUGUUUAUCUAACUUUAAGAGAGCAAAAACUGGAUUGAGAUUAUAUUUUGCAAAGAUGGGAAUAUUUAUCAAUCUAUGGAUAGUGUAAACAGGUGUAGAGUAGGCCAUCCAUGGCAUGAAGAUUUUGUUUGUAUUUGUUAAAAUGAUAGAGAGAUCACCCUUCUUCCCUUUCAUCUGGACUGUAAUCAAUUACAAGGAAGUCCAGAUUACAGGUCACAACCAAGCCCAAAGGAAGGGGUAAAAAAAAGAACGCUUGCAGCCCCGCUGCAAAGCCUUCCCAUGGUAUUCUGUCUUCCUUUAGGUGUCUUUCUCGUUUCCUCUUUUGUAUUAACUCUGUUUAACUCCAAGAUUGUGUUAAUCAGAUGAUCAACAGAUCGAUGCCCCAUAUUAUGUUCUCCCAUACUUGUAACUGCAUUCACGGCGUGUUUUUUUUGUUUUUGGUGUACAUGUAGGUACUGGUUCCAGACCCCAGAAGCAUGGACAGUUGAUGGGCACUACCGAUCCCUUGUGUACAUGCGUCCGCUGGCUAUUUGGGCCAUGCAAUGGGCCUUGUCACCUCCAAAAGCAAUUCUCAAGGCUCCCAAAUUUAGUACAGACAGAAUCUACACAUCGCCGCUUUAUGCAAGAACCCUAGAUGAUGAUGGUUUGAGGAAGAGGACAUCUAAAAGCAGGUGUUUUCCUAGAACCGUUUGUCACCGUGCUAAUUAAGGACAUUGGUUGUGGAGAUCUCCUAGUGAAUGAUUCAGAGGAGUUGCUGCUAUUAUUCUUUGUAGCAUUUGGCAGGUGCAGUUAGGACCCAUCCAUCAUGGCCAAGAUAUUUUAACUGUGUGACAGUUGCAUGAUAUUGCUCAUAGAGCUCCAGGAUAGUAAAUCAACUUCUUAGAGCCCUAAUUGGAUCUUAGCUUUUGGUGCCAUGAGAAUCAGAAUAUACAGCCCAUAAUUUAGUUCUAGGCUUGAAGAUUUUCGUCAAAGUAAAACCUGUAAUUAUUUAAGGGUGAUCAAGAGUCUUGUGGGAAAUAUUGUAAUUUAUCUUACAGAAUGCAAAGGUUCAGAAUAAUUAGAUCAUCUUUCGAUAUAAAGUAUAACAUUAUUUAUUGUGUUGAUGUUGUAAUAUGGUUGUAAUUUGUCAUGAUACAUAGCAGUAUCUAAAGCAGUCAACCCGUUCGCCAUAAAUUUUGGUUUGAUUCAUAGGAUCGAUCCGAGGGAGCCUUUUGUUUAAAUAACUUGCAAAGGUUUGAUUUUGUUUCUUCGGAAAAUGUUAUUAUUUGAUGCAGUAGUGGAUGAACAACUGGGAGAAAUAAUUGUCUUGGUUGCUCCAUACUCUUCAGCAAUUUCUUGUGCUUAUCUCCAUAUUGAAAUGGGAGUUGGAAAAAUAAUUGAAAGUGAAUUCUGUAUGUUUACUCCAAUAUGAAGGAAUCAGUUUGAUUGUCCUGUUCAGCAAUAAUGCUAUGCUGUAUAAACUCUUGCCAAGCGGUCAGAUCUUUUGGUAUAUAAAAAUUUUCUGCUAGUCUUGGCUCCGCAAGGGCUUGUACAAAACGGUACAUGUUGCUGAGCUAACUCUGCUGUACUUGAAACUGAAACAACUCAAUCCAUCGGAUCGCGUCUAUCGAUCAUCACAGCCCUCCGUUGUCUUAUAUCAGACAGGCGUCNNNNNNNNNNNNNNNNNNNNNNNNNNNNNNNNNNNNNNNNNNNNNNNNNNNNNNNNNNNNNNNNNNNNNNNNNNNNNNNNNNNNNNNNNNNNNNNNNNNNNNNNNNNNNNNNNNNNNNNNNNNNNNNNNNNNNNNNNNNNNNNNNNNNNNNNNNNNNNNNNNNNNNNNNNNNNNNNNNNNNNNNNNNNNNNNNNNNNNNNNNNNNNNNNNNNNNNNNNNNNNNNNNNNNNNNNNNNNNNNNNNNNNNNNNNNNNNNNNNNNNNNNNNNNNNNNNNNNNNNNNNNNNNNNNNNNNNNNNNNNNNNNNNNNNNNNNNNNNNNNNNNNNNNNNNNNNNNNNNNNNNNNNNNNNNNNNNNNNNNNNNNNNNNNNNNNNNNNNNNNNNNNNNNNNNNNNNNNNNNNNNNNNNNNNNNNNNNNNNNNNNNNNNNNNNNNNNNNNNNNNNNNNNNNNNNNNNNNNNNNNNNNNNNNNNNNNNNNNNNNNNNNNNNNNNNNNNNNNNNNNNNNNNNNNNNNNNNNNNNNNNNNNNNNNNNNNNNNNNNNNNNNNNNNNNNNNNNNNNNNNNNNNNNNNNNNNNNNNNNNNNNNNNNNNNNNNNNNNNNNNNNNNNNNNNNNNNNNNNNNNNNNNNNNNNNNNNNNNNNNNNNNNNNNNNNNNNNNNNNNNNNNNNNNNNNNNNNNNNNNNNNNNNNNNNNNNNNNNNNNNNNNNNNNNNNNNNNNNNNNNNNNNNNNNNNNNNNNNNNNNNNNNNNNNNNNNNNNNNNNNNNNNNNNNNNNNNNNNNNNNNNNNNNNNNNNNNNNNNNNNNNNNNNNNNNNNNNNNNNNNNNNNNNNNNNNNNNNNNNNNNNNNNNNNNNNNNNNNNNNNNNNNNNNNNNNNNNNNNNNNNNNNNNNNNNNNNNNNNNNNNNNNNNNNNNNNNNNNNNNNNNNNNNNNNNNNNNNNNNNNNNNNNNNNNNNNNNNNNNNNNNNNNNNNNNNNNNNNNNNNNNNNNNNNNNNNNNNNNNNNNNNNNNNNNNNNNNNNNNNNNNNNNNNNNNNNNNNNNNNNNNNNNNNNNNNNNNNNNNNNNNNNNNNNNNNNNNNNNNNNNNNNNNNNNNNNNNNNNNNNNNNNNNNNNNNNNNNNNNNNNNNNNNNNNNNNNNNNNNNNNNNNNNNNNNNNNNNNNNNNNNNNNNNNNNNNNNNNNNNNNNNNNNNNNNNNNNNNNNNNNNNNNNNNNNNNNNNNNNNNNNNNNNNNNNNNNNNNNNNNNNNNNNNNNNNNNNNNNNNNNNNNNNNNNNNNNNNNNNNNNNNNNNNNNNNNNNNNNNNNNNNNNNNNNNNNNNNNNNNNNNNNNNNNNNNNNNNNNNNNNNNNNNNNNNNNNNNNNNNNNNNNNNNNNNNNNNNNNNNNNNNNNNNNNNNNNNNNNNNNNNNNNNNNNNNNNNNNNNNNNNNNNNNNNNNNNNNNNNNNNNNNNNNNNNNNNNNNNNNNNNNNNNNNNNNNNNNNNNNNNNNNNNNNNNNNNNNNNNNNNNNNNNNNNNNNNNNNNNNNNNNNNNNNNNNNNNNNNNNNNNNNNNNNNNNNNNNNNNNNNNNNNNNNNNNNNNNNNNNNNNNNNNNNNNNNNNNNNNNNNNNNNNNNNNNNNNNNNNNNNNNNNNNNNNNNNNNNNNNNNNNNNNNNNNNNNNNNNNNNNNNNNNNNNNNNNNNNNNNNNNNNNNNNNNNNNNNNNNNNNNNNNNNNNNNNNNNNNNNNNNNNNNNNNNNNNNNNNNNNNNNNNNNNNNNNNNNNNNNNNNNNNNNNNNNNNNNNNNNNNNNNNNNNNNNNNNNNNNNNNNNNNNNNNNNNNNNNNNNNNNNNNNNNNNNNNNNNNNNNNNNNNNNNNNNNNNNNNNNNNNNNNNNNNNNNNNNNNNNNNNNNNNAUGAACGUAAGCUUUCCAUUAAUGCCAAUCUUCCCAUCCUGGCCUACCCUUGAGAGUGGCAGUGACAGACAAUGGGCUCUGUAUGAUUCUGACCCUUGAGGGUGGCAAUGGAGUUUGAUCAAACGUGAAUCUAACCCCUGAGACUCGCAUGCAUCCGCAGCAGCUAUAUGCUGCUCGGCGAGACUUUACACCUCCACCUGGUGUAUAUCGGGGCCACAGAUAGAGCUGGAAAGGAUCGUUCUCAGAGAAGGUCAGGCGGCAAUCAGGCCUUAGGAGAGCAAAGUAUGGUAUCCUCACAAGCAUGCAUCUGUAGAUCGUACACAGCCAACACUGCAGAAGAUCAUCAAAAUGAUCUGAUGAGGCUUGGAUAUCUACCAGCUCCGGAGGCCGUUCAACUAGAAUCUACAAUGGAUAAUCAGAAUCAAUGUAAUUGUUAUGCGAAUUGGAUCGAGUUGCACGAGGCAACUAGAUUAUAUCUAUUGCUAACCCGGUUCUAAUCACGAAGGGCAUGUAUCCUCUAACAUUUCAAUCCGCCCAGUCGAGCAGAUGUCAGUGAUCAGAGUUGGUGCGUGUCCAAAAGGCAUCAUAUGACUAUUGCAGUUGCACCUAAAUCUCACAGACUAAUAAAUGGCUCCAAAUUCUUGGACCAUAUAUAGAACGGAAGCUGGCAGAUUUGAAGUCUGCGCGCAUGUCGAGUUUUCUUGGAUCGAGCAGCUAAACGCGGACCAAGACAUGGUCUAAUUCCAUAAAUAUGUCGAUCUAAGCUGACCGUUGUCCGAGCAUAAUUUAGUUUAUCUGGCAGUUACUAGCGAAACACCUCAUCCUCGUGCGUUGCAAUCUGAUGGCCCUUGUGCAUCAUCCUUCCUUCUUGUUUCUCGCAAGGCGUGGUCACUUCUUUCAUGGAGGUCAAUGAAUCUGAUCCGUGGCCCACAGUUUCUGGGUUGAAGUCUAGAAGUGUGUUCUCCGUUCAUAUUUUCUCUCUUUCUUAAUGAAAAAAAGAAGAUCGGGCAUCAACUUGGCUGCAUAAAUUUCAGCAUGGCCCCAUGCUUACCGUGCGGAUCAUGGCAGCCGUCUUAGGACAUCAAGUUGGCCUCUAAAUUUUCGGUUAGUAGUUGGUUGUUGGGCCAAGGUGACAGCCCAUACAGCUCGACUCCGACUCAUUUCCAGACAAGUGGACCGUCGACUCUAGCUUGUCCGGAAGCUGAGAUUUUCGCUUUGAUUUGGCUGGAACUGCACUGUUUCAACAUGACCGAACGGCCGGUCAUAUAAAUUCUCGUGAGAUCACUUGAUGUGGCUCAAUUCUCGCAUGACCAACCGAUUUAGUUGGAAAGUUGGCAGCGAUGAGAGUGCAUUAAAAAAGCCCGACGAUGCCCUCGCCUCUCCCCUACAAAUAGUCUCCCCCCAGCUCAUACGAGCCACUCCAUAGAAUAGAGGAAGAGAAAGGCCGGUCUCAUCCUCUCCUAUCACCCUCAUGGAGCUCUUGUCGCUGGCAUCCGCCAUCCUUCUCCUCUGCUCUUUAUUCCUUGUAUGGAGAGUCUUCGACGGGAGGAGGAACCGGAACUGCUACCUCCUCGACUACAUCUGCUUCAAGGCGUCGGACAGCCGCAUGAUCUCCACCGAGCUCAGCGGCGACAUCAUCUACCGCAACGAGAACUUGGGCCUCCCCGAAUACAAGUUCCUCCUCAAGGUCAUCGUCAACUCCGGCAUCGGCGAGCAGACCUACGGCCCGAAGAAUAUAGUCGACGGGCGCGAGAAUUCCCCGACCCACGAGGACGGCAUCUCCGAGAUGGACGACUGCUUCAACGCCACGCUCGAGGAGCUCUUCCGCAAGUCAGGCUUCGGCCCGUCGGACAUCGACAUGCUCGUGGUCAGCGUCUCCAUGUUCUCCCCCGGCCCCUCCCUCGCGUCGCGGAUCGUGCAGCGGUACGGGAUGCGGGAAGACAUCAAGGUCUUCAACCUCUCCGGGAUGGGGUGCAGCGCGAGCCUCAUCGCAGUCCAGCUGGUCAGGGAUGUCUUCAGGGUGCGCAAGAAGAUGCUGGCCGUCGUGGCGACAUCCGAGUCCAUCAGUCCGAACUGGUACUCCGGCAGCGACAAGUCGAUGAUGCUGGGGAACUGCCUCUUCCGUUCCGGCGGCUGCACCAUGCUUCUCACCAACGAUCCCGCGCUGAAGCGCCGCGCGAAGAUGCGCCUCGGGUGCCUCGUGCGCACCCACAUCGGCGCCAGCGACGACGCCCACGGCUGCGCGAUGCAGAAGGAGGACGACGUCGGGCGCGUCGGGUUCCACCUCAGCAAGAGCCUCCCGAAGGCGGCGGCGCGCGCCUUCUCGGACAACCUCCAAACGCUAGCUCCGCAGGUGCUCCCCGUGAGGGAGCUCCUCCUUUACAUCGCCCGGGGUGUUCGGCAGAUGCUGAACGGCGGCAGCAAGGACCCGACGGCGGCCGCGAGAGUGAACUUCAAGGCCGGGGUGGAGCACUUCUGCCUCCACCCCGGGGGGGCGGCGGUGAUCGAGGGGGUGGGGAGGAGUCUCGGGCUCACCAAGUAUGACCUGGAGCCUGCGAGGAUGACGCUGCACCGGUGGGGGAACACGUCGGCCAGCAGCCUGUGGUACGUGCUCGGUUACAUGGAAGCCAAGAAGAGGCUGAGGAGGAGCGACAGGGUGCUGAUGAUAAGCUUCGGGGCGGGCUUCAAGUGCAACAGCUGCUUGUGGGAGGUGCUGAGAGACCUCGAGGAUGGGGGCGUGUGGGAGGAUUGCAUCCAGAGCUACCCUCCUCAAUCCUUAGUCAAUCCCUUCAUGGAGAGGUACGGCUGGAUCAAUGACGGCUGAGCUCUCCAUCUGUAGUUCAUUACCCUUUUCCUUUCCUUCAUGUUUUUGGAAGAUGAUGAAUCUAUAUAUAUAUAUAUAUAUAUAUAUAUANNNNNNNNNNNNNNNNNNNNAUAUAUAUAUAUAUAUAUAUAUAUAUAUAUAGAUUACAGAUGUCUUCAUGCGUGGUGUGGUCUUUGUUUUUAUUUCUUUUUUCCUUCAAUUCCCCCUCUUUGUUUGAUUUGUUCGAUUACUUUGAAUAAGUUACCAUUGGACCUAUCAAAAUCAAUAAACAAACAAAUAACUUAUUAUUCUGUUGAUUGGGUUGGUGAGGGCUCACCAUCAUCAGAAGUUGCACGACGUAUUAUUAAUUUUGGGAGUGGAGGUAACAGGGAUAUCGCAGUUUUGUCGAUAACAGCUGAUUCGCUGUAUCCGGGUUCCAUGCAGGGGGGCACCCCACGAGCAUAGGUGCUCUGCUCUCGGCUUUUAAUUUCAGAAAUUAAUGCUGGGUCUGAGAGCAUGUGUGACCGCAUACAUCUGUUGUUCUUAGGCUCGACUUGGGUCUUGCCCACAUGGUUUCUCCAUCAAAAGCUUAUGAACAUUAGUACACAGCCACUUACUUCGCUAUACAAGCACUGUACCGUUAGUCCUUCUUUUUUUUGAAAAAAAAAAAGAAGAUUUCCUUUGGAUAUACUACUUACUGCAUUACCGCUUUCUCUGCAAAAAAGAUAUACUGCAUGCCAUCCUUAGUUCCAAGGGAUUCGCAUCCCUCUUGGGACCACGAAAGGACCGAUCGAGCCGCAGAACAGAGCGGGGCCACAUAUCCAUGCAUGUGAACCACAAAGCUGAGGCAUUGUUAAUUAGAUGAUUAAUUUUUGAAAUUCCGGGAUAUAUAUCUACAAAGCUUGCACAUAGAGAAGGUACGGAGUGGUUCUUUAUCUUAUCAUUGCCUUAAGGUUUGGAACUGAACUGCAAGUAUAUAUAUAAUUAAGGAUAUUGCUAAGAGUUAGCAGUCGAAGGGAGUUUGAACUGUGAAGAAAUUACCGGUGCGCACAGAGAAGGAGCUGUGAGGGAGAGAAUGCAGAGAAUACGCCCUUGACUAUAUGGAGGAUAAGGAAUUAGGCAGCCUAGGGACUGAUUUUUUUCUUAUCUUAUUGUUGAGAAAGGAAAGCAGGCAAAGCCAAGCAGGCAAGUGGGCUGGGGGCAAAGGCACCAUGAGAAGCAUAGACUUGAUGGUUGUUAGACUGUACUAAAAAUUUUUAUAAUAGAAUGGAAAAGAAAAUGAACAAUUAUAAUUUUUUGUUAGUGGAUCAUAAAAAAGGACAAGGAAUGCUUUAAGUUUUAACUGAUGCUUGAUACCUGCAAGACCUGCACAAGAUCUUAUUUAAUGUACUGUCUCGCUUACAGCGUUCUUGAGUCGCUCCCAACAGUAGCGAUCGCUAAAAAAAAUAAAUAAAGUUGCGUGAGAUGAUUCUAUCAAACGAGGGACAGGUCUUGAAGGCACCAUAACUGUUAUUUAUUGGCCUACCGGACGCCAAUCUGCUGCAAUGCAAGUAUGCAACAUUAUAACCUGGUCCUCGUUUGGCCAAAAGGAUAUGAUACAUUGAAUAAAAAUAUUUCAACCAUUCGAUAUUUAUUAUCAUACUUGUAACCCGUCCAAUAUAAGUAUAUGUCUUGCAAGUGAGGAAGCAACCGGGGGAGCGAAAUUUGGAAGGCAGAGGUGUAUUUUUUCGAAUUCCUCAUUAUAAUUGCUAUUAAAUUAAAAGUUAAAUUACAUAUUAUCCUGGUGGCCAUAGCUCUCUUCUUGGAAACUAGAGGCUUUAGAUAUUUAGAUGAUGCAUUCCAAAAAACUAACGGUACACGGUUUAGUACAGAUGGACCUUCCAUUUUUUCUCUUCUAUGUGUGCAAAUAUAAAAUUAAUAAGAAACUAUAAAAUAAAAUAGUUGCUUGAACAAUAAUAAAUAUAACAACAACUAUCAAAUCAGUACAGCUGGUUUUUAGAAUCUUAAUUUGCCAAAUAAUUAUGAGCGUAUGGCUAGAAUCAGGAUAUAUUGGAAUGAAAAUCAAAAUAGCUAUAUUUUUUUGACGCAUUUGGUUUGUACCUCUAAUCGAACCUAGAAUCAAAAUAAAAUUUGAAUGCUAGAAAAAAAGUAUAUAUUGAAUUCGGGAAGAUUUGAACAUUUUUAUUUUUUUCUAAAAUCGGAAUUGGAAUAAGACUUCCUUCAACUAAAUGGCUGGGACGGAAGUUAUUUGUUUUUAUUUUUAUUAGAGAGUCACUUUUUUCAACCGAACAUGCUCUACAAUGUCAUGACAUACAAAAUAAAAAAGAGGAGAUUGGUUAGCAAUGAAUCAAAUGUACAUUGUUAUGUUAAUGAAACAGAGAGGCCGGGGUUUACCAGCUUGUCUUGCCGGAAAAGAGAUGGACGGCAAUAAGGAGGAGAACUAAAAGAAUGGGCUUGGAGGAUUGAAAGAGAGCCUUCAUUGCAUAAUGUCUCUCCACUGUUUUCCCACAUGGAGUAUGUCUUCAUAGACUCCGGGAAGAACACAGAGGGAGCGAAUCUUUUAUUAUUACUGAAAAUAUACUGUUCUUUUUUUUUUGUUUUAGGUAAACUCAGAAAUUUACUUCAUUAUUGAUAGAUAUGCAUGAUUAAUGUUCGUAUCAGGACAAUAAAUGCCGCCUCAAGCCAUGCAAUUCUACCACAUUUCCCCGCCCCUGCCCUCCUCUAUUCCCCUGUUUCCUUCUGAUCUUAUUAAUGUCUUCCGGCCCGUGAAGCUGAUCUUGAUUUGUAUUUCGUACACCUUCAUCGAUGGUUGUUGGUUUUACAACCUUUCAUUCCUUUUAGAAAAAGAAUAUACAUGAAGACACUUCCAUAUUUCAAUGCCCACGUUUACUUGUUUAUCCAAUCAAUAUCUGCUGAUCAAAAUUUAUUUCCCUCAUGCCAUUUUUCACAAACGCCCAUGGAGACUUUAGGUCUUGGGUGAUGUAUCACCGAGGAAAUGAUAAUCCAACAGCCUUUCAGGAGAAAAGAAAAAAAAAAAGAAAGCAUUAUAAUGUGAGCAAUGCCACAUUAUACCUCAAAAAAAUAACUCGAGAAAUUCACUCAACCGUCUUCCAUCAUUCAUAUUGCUUCAUUAUGUAAGACAAUUCAUAAUGCAAAUUCAAAGGGAGCAAUGAGAAUACAACAAACCAACGACUGUUUUUUGAGUUAAAUUUUUGAGUAACUAUAGUAUUUUUUUGCUAUAAUAUAUACACAAAUCAAAAUAACAAAGGAGAGAAAGGGGUAGAGAGAUGUAAGUUUUAUUAUGUUAAUAAAAUUGCAUCCUUAUUGAUAAUUCAGGAUUAAAAAAAAAGAAGAUUGGGAAGACUAGGGCAACGUGCAGCAGUAUAUCGAAUCAAUACCCCCAGUAUAGCUGUAGAAACUGUCGUGUAAUCCUUUGUGGUAUUUUAUCAUGGAGGUGUUAAAAAAAGUAUAUAUUUCUAGAAUAUGAAGUUUAUAUUGUUUUGAUGUAGUCUUCUGUGCCGCAUUGAUCUAAAAUAUAAAUAUUCAUUUUUGUGUAAAAAAUGGGGCAGCCCAUUAAUUAUUAAUUGAAGAAAUGCAAUCCUUACAUCAAGGAUAUCAAAAUUAAAAGAAAUCCAUAGAACAAAGAAGUUAAGGGACCUACCAUGGAAGGUCAAUUAGGGGGACAAAGUAGCUGUAUCAGAAGGAAAAUGGUUGAUUAUAAGAUAGAGAUAGGGGCGACAACAUGGUUGAUCUUAUCAGCUUGCAUCUUUCGACAUAUGAAAAGGAUGAAUAUAGCUAGAAGAACAAAUUUGGAGAACUCGAGGAGGGCGUCGGUUGCAUGCCCUAAUUACACCACUUUCCUACUUGAACUACAAUCUUUCAUGCUUUGGAUAUACUCAAUGUCCAGGCUUUGGCUUGACUAUCAUUUUAAUUAUAUUUCGGCCCCUAUUGAUUAAGCUUUUAAUAUAAAACUUAAUUUUGAUGCCACUUUUAUAUUUAAUCCCUGAUCUUGCCGUACGUAAACAGGGAUAAAUAUGCAAAACAAUGGACUGAAAUAUGAAUAGACACAAAUAAUAAAAUACUAAUUAAGGAAGGAUUAAAUAUAAAAUGGCGGUCAAAGAAAAGACUGAUUUAAAUUUUCUAUGAUGAUUUUAUUUUUUAAAUUAUAAUCUAUUAAACUAAUUUAGAGUAAAUACAACCGUGGGAAUGAGAAAAUAAAAAAUCUAACAAUUGAGAAGGAAAAUUAGAUACUGAUAGCUACAAAAUAGAUUCUGCAUGAACAACAACAUAUGAUGCCAUCUAAUUCUUCUCUAAAAAUGCGAUCUUGCGCCAAAACUUCGAAGAGAUGCACCCAUAUGUAAACAAUCCUGCAUCAAGGGAUAGCUAUUGAAUUCUAAAGAAGCUGAACCAAUCAACCACUUAAUAACUAUCAAGCAAUCUCACUCCAAAAUGAUGCGAGAAGUUUUCAAAAUUUUAAUUGCACAUGAUAUAUCUUCCCAUGCAGCUCGCUAUUCUGCUAUAGAAACUAUAGUUUCAAACAAUCUAACUCCACCUGCUACUAGUACUGGACCACUCACACUUCUAAUAAUGAAGCUAGCUCUGUCCAACUUAUCCCUAUUCAGGAUAGUACCUUAACAGGAAUANNNNNNNNNNNNNNNNNNNNNNNNNNNNNNNNNNNNNNNNNNNNNNNNNNNNNNNNNNNNUGGGUCGUAAGAUUGAAAAUUCAAAAUUACCUAAAUUUUAAAUAGUUUAGGUUCGGGUCGGGUUGGGUCUAAAUUCAGUAAAUUCAGAUCCAACCCAGAAAAUAGAACGAAUCUAAUUUUAGAAUUUGGUCCGGCCUCAUGGAUCCUCCAAAAUAGUUAGGAUUGGGUCUAAGCAGGUUGGGUCGAGUUGGGUUACAUGUCAACGCUACCCAUUGCAGCUUUAGUAACGAGGCCUCAAAAUUCUCUUGGACGUGCAGAUCAUCGUGCAAUAUGGCUGGGUGCACUUUGGCAUUGGCUCGCAGUCAGAGUGAGCCUCGCUCUCGCUCUUUUCUUCUACACGCAAACAGAACAAAACAACCAAAUAGCAUCAUAAUCCACAUAUCUAUCAACUUCUAACAAAACUAUUUGAGUCAUGAAAACUCACCUCCUUGUGCCUGUGAAGAAGAGAUGAGGAGGACAGGGACGAACAGGGCCAAAAGCAUGGGCUUGAAGGUUAGGAAAUGAGCAAUUAUUGCAGCAGGUCCUUCGCAGUGCAAGCUCACUGUGACGACUUCAUAUAUAUAUAUAUAUGUAUGUAUGUAUGUAUAUAUAUUAUAUGUAUGUAUGUAUGUAUGUAUGAGGAGGACAGGGACGAACAGGGCCAAAGGCAUGGGCUUGAAGGCAAGGAAAUGAGCAAUUAUUGUAGCAGGUCCUUUGCAGUGCAAGCUCACCGCGACGACUUCAUACAUACAUAUGUAUGUAUGUAUGUAUGUAUGUAUGUAUGUAUGUAUGAAGGAGGGGGGACCGGAUGGUUAUCUAUCUAUUAUAUAUGACUCAUAAUUUUUUUAAGAAAAUAAACAAUCAUAUUAACAUGCUAUUAACUUGAUUUAUCUUUCACUUAGUAAUUUUGUUAUUCUAUCGUCAUAAAGUUUAACCAUCCAGCUUAUAUAUGCAUUUAUAUCUAUAUAUUCUGCAUCUAGUUUAUAUCUGUAUCCAUUUAAUUUUAAAUAAAUAUAGAUAUGAAUAUUCUAAUAUUUAAUCCAAUUUUAGCCUUAUCUUUAGUGGAUUUUCUGAGAGAUUUGCUAAGAACGAAAUCUUUGCAUCACAAUUUAAAAAACAAUGAGCCACUAUCGCAACAAGUCCUGAUUGCUCAUUUUGCCAACAUAUAAGACCAGAGACAUGCCCAUGGGAAUGAACCUAGCUCUAUGCUUUUACUUAUUGGAUUUUCUGAGAGGCUUAAAUGCUUUACAUCAAAAAUUAAUAAAACGAUGUGAUUUCACUUUUUUUAGGUACUUGUUGAUGGAAAGUGAUUGUAUUAGCAAGAUUACUCUUGCUGUUUUUGCAAAGAGAGACUUAAUACUGGAACAUAUGUGCAUCUAGUCGCAUUCAUAGACUUCGUGAAUCACAUCCAACGAAUCUCCAGACAAGCAAAAUGUUUCCGAAAAUUCAAUGAGCUAACUGUUGAUCUCUCUCUACACGCGUUGUUUGCAUCGAAGAAUACUGUGCAGCAUUUGAUGACCGCCAUUAGAAGAUAGAUAGUGAUCAAAUAGGAUGGUCUUAAAUUUGGAAAUAGGACAACAACCCAGCCAUAAUCGGACCGGAACAGAUGUGCAUGCGUCUAGUCGCAUUCCUACACCUCGUGAAUCAAAUCCAACCAAUCUGCAGACAAAAUGUUUCCAAAAAUUUAAGGAGCUAACGGUUGAUCUCUCUCUACAUAUAAGGGAUCACACUAGCAAACAGCACGUAUCUUCUGUGGUGCACUACUGUUGGCAUCGAAGAAUAUUGUGCAGCAUUUGAUGACCACCAGUAGAAGAUAGACGGCCAUCAAACAAGAUAGUCUUACAUACCAUACACGACAUGUUUUAUUUUUUCUGAUGGCGGCCAUGCAGCAAUCUGCGGUGUAAACAACGACGCACCGGUGAGUAUCCUAGGUGAUGCGCAGAUGGUAUCAGUGUCAAAUCGAAAUACGGUUGAGAUUUAUAUAAACUUAAUAAUAUGAUAAAGAAGAAGAAAGCUAUCGAAGUCCAUUAAAAACAGGAGGAUUUUCUUUACUGUAAAAUUUUACAUUAUUCCUAGCAUACCGUGCAGGACACAGUAUGAAUCAGCAAAUGCAAGUCUAAAUGCCCAAAGGGCAGCAGCAAUUGAGAUAGAUUCCCCGGGAAUAGCUGCAGAAACCUGCCUUGUUAAUUCCUUUUUUUUUUUCGGUGAAAAAAAUAGGAGGGGAGGGGGAGAGAUGAACCUCACCCGCAUAGCAGCUCCCACUGGGCCCUCCUUCUACCAGAGAAUGUUCGAUGCAGGCCGCAAGUUUUCGCGUACCCUCCCCAACCCAUGGGCUCAUCAUCCAUGUAUGAGUACGUCACCCCAGCACCAUCUCGGUACCAGUGGAUUAGUAGCGCUCCCACCGGCAGCGUCCAGGCAUAGGGCAUCCGAUCCUCAAAUUUAAUCGACGCCCGUGCGUUUCGAACUUGGGCCACCCCGGUGGAAGCCAACGCCAUGUUCCAUCUGUGCUACCACCUUGGUCAGAAUGCUGUGCAACAUGGCAUGGUGCAGUUGGGCAGCGACUCGCAGUGAGCCCCACGGUCGCUCUUCUACGCAAACAGAACAAGCAAACGAGCAUCGUAACCAUCAUAUCUAGCUAUUUCUAACCAAAACUAUAAGAGUCAUGAAAGCUUACAUUAUCUUGUCCCUGGGAAGAAGAGAUGAGGAGGAGGAGGAGGAAUAGGGCCAGAGGGAUAGACUUGAAGGUUCUGAAACGAGCCAUUGUUGCAAUAGGUCCUUUGCAGUGCUUGCUCACUUUGACCACUUUAUAUAAGACCAGAAACAUGCCUAAGGGAAUGAACCUACCUACUGUUACCUACUAGAUUUUCUGAGAGAUUUGCUAGCAGGGAAAUCUUUACGUCAAUAUGUAGAAAAUAAUGAGACAUUAUUGCAGACAAGGACUUGGCAGUGCUUGCUCGUUUUGACGACUUCAUAUAACAGCAGAGACAUGCCCAUGGGAACGAACUUCUAUACUUUUGCAUCAAAAUUAAGAAAACUGUGGUUUCGCUUUUCUUUUUUCUGCAUACUUGUUGCUGGAAAGUGAUUAUAUGAGCAAGAUUGCUCUUGCUCUUGCCGUUUUUGCAAAGAGAGACUUAAUACUCAGAUCUUUUAUGGGACUGUUAUUUUGUUUCAGUCCUUGCAAAGGAUCGAGUUAGCCUGCCGGUGAGGCCUUGAGGUGGUGUUCAGGGAGACCUUCCCCGGAAUCUCACCUCUGUUCGUGUUGGAGACGUAUACCAACCAUAGACAGGGCUCUGAUGCUGCUAUGCGUCCAGCGUAAACAGUGGAAAGUAGCUGGGCUGGUGAAAUCUGAUAGAAACUGAUCCUCAAGUCUUCAAAGUUGACGGGCUCCUUCUUGAACUGGCGGUUUAACCUCCCAACCCACUCUAUAUCUCAGAGCCAGCUUUGCCAGGCGCAGAUUUAACGCUGCAACAGGCUACUGAUGACUUGGGCUAGGGGUCUCUUCCAAAGAGACCAUUGAAUAAGUAGGCAAAUGGCACGCUCCCUAACCAGUUGCCCUUCCAAAAUAUGGCUUCUUUUUCCUUUUUUUUUUUUUUUUUGUCCGCUGCCCAAAUGGAAUGAGGUACAAUUCUAAAAGACCUUCAUGUCUCUGCUGAUGUCUGUCCAAAUUGGGGAGACCUCUACCAACGAUCUCCUCUCACUCUUUUUAAACUUUCUUCUAGAGUAGUAUGCAUUGUUUAUCCAUUUAAACCAAGGUGCCUCUGGUCCCUUGAGGAAUUUCUAAUACCGCUAUCAUUUCAAGAAUCAAGAGAGUUUGAGCUUCUAAUGGAAUUGUUGGAACCAGAUAGACCGAAUAAAGCUGCAAAUGUGCCAAUUUGGAAACUUACAAGUAACCGAAACCACCUCUCGGUGAGCUCAUUCUACAAAUUUAUUAUUUGGCCUUUCUACAAAUCCAGUUUGGAAGGGAGCGACACUGGAAAAAGCUAAAAUCUUUCUUCGGCUCCCACUAAAGAACAAACUUCAUACAGAUGAGGUGUUAACAAAGAAAGGCUGGAGGUUUGGCUUGGAUUGUCCCAUCUGCGAUGCAAACUCCUCCGAAACUGGUGCACGCUUAUUUAUUAGAUAUCCAUUUGUCAGAAGUAUUUGGUUUAUUUGAAAGUUACACCCUAAGCUAAGAGGUUGGCCGACAAACCUUCUAGACCUUUGGACAGUGAUUAUAUACUUGAGCAUGAAUGCAGAGCAAAGCAAUAUAGAGACAAUAUAAGCUCGCAUGUUAUAAGCUGAGAUGAAUACACAAUGAUCACAUUGUAACCGAACAAGUACUUAUUUCCAUUGUUUAUAAAGCACAGCAACAACCACGGAUUUUUUUUUUUCCUGUUUUAUGUUCCUUUUUGACAGAGAGCAAGCCUACAUGUCUUAUCAGUGAAUGGUAGGGUUCUCACCAACGCAGGUUGAGGAAGCAGCAAGCAAGCAAGCAAGCAACUGAUGACAUUCUCUUAUCGGGCUCAUUAUGCCAGUUUAACAGCAACUGAGCGUGCUUUUAGAUUCAGGAACACCGCCCUGAUAUUUUACAGAAGAACAACAUUGUUCAGCAUAUAUAUACAUACUAUUGAACUGACAUGCAAUCCAAUCAGAAAAUUAUUAGCUCGAAAUCAUGUGAGAAAUUGUGGGGGCACUUGUAUACACAUGAAGUUACAAGCUACAACUGAAAACCCUAGAAUUAACAGUGUUCAAUCAAAUUCUGAAUUUCUCCCUAUGUUUUCUUUAUCUUUCAGUUUGUAUAUAGAGGGUUUCCCUCCUAUUUUUAUCUCAGAAUACCACAUGCCCUUCAACAUAGCGGAAUACUCUUUGUGGAGGUGCAAAUCUUCGUCAGAAACCAAUUAUUAAACUAAAUAUAAACAGUAUAUGAAAUUGAAUUUUAAACACCAAUUUGGAUAGAACCUUUUUGCAUUAACAAUUAAAAUCAUGAAUUUGCGGCACAUACAUUAAGAUCAGCAUUUGCAAAGCAUGCACUAAGCAUAAACAUAUUCUAUUGACAAUAUCUCAGUUAAGAAUGGCUGCAAGAGCAAGCACAUUGCGUCGACCAGGUUGCUGAUUAGAUAUACCGGGACAUAGGACGACCCAUGACUCAUAAACAGUGUACAAGGGAAAAGCAUGGAUGUCAUUACAACCACAGAUAUAUAUAUAUAUAUAUAUAUAUAUAUAUAUAUAUAUAUAUAUAUAUAUAUAUAUAUAUAUAUAUAUAUAUGGGAAACUUGAUUCUGCCUUACUUGUUGAUGCGUCUGCCUAUCUAUCUAUAUAUGUACAUACUUGAUGUGCAAGCACAUGCUCUCAUGCACAUACAUGCAUAUAUCUUUGCCUACUCUCUCUCUCUCUCACACAUACACACAUGCACAUGCGCACACGCGAAGCGAGAGAAUAACUACGCAUACAUUCAACAAUAAAAUGCAAAAACAGGCGCAUAAACCAGUUUUUUAAAAGAAUUUUAUAACCUAUGCCCUUAAACAAUAAAUUUUCAAGUACAGUUGAUAUGGCUAUGUAGAGCAGCAGGCAAACAUGUUUAUGUAUUGAUCUAUUCGUGACAUAAUAAUUGGAACGGGAUAAAGUAGAGAAUUCAUUAUAGAUGAAGCAACCAGAGAUGAGUGCGAAGGACAGACCAGCAUGAAGCAACGAAGCUGUGGAAAAGAACACGGAACUGCAGAGGCAUAUAUUGGUAGUUCACCCAAGAAACUAUAGGCCAAAACUGCAAAACAAAGUCCAUAAAAUUCAGUUCAAAUAUACACUAGAAAUCCAGUGAACACGGUCAAAACCCAAGUAAGGUUCCAUUGAAUAGAUUAAGAAGUACCUUCCAUGCGGUCAACUGAACAGUUGGAUAAUCCUUCCUGACCUUGCUCCUCACUAAACUAAAUGGUCUUCCUGCAUUUACCAAUGGAGCAAGAAUAGUGUUGCAGAAUUUUUAAUGCAGAUGCAAAAUACUCAAUACAAUCAAAUUUCAGAAGGUUUGAUAAUAAAACACAGCACUCAGUCAACUCCUUAUAAGUAAAUGCAAUUGCAGCCAUGAUUACAUUCAACCAAUGUGCCGACCUACAAUCGGAAAUGCAGUAGUCUCUUGUCAUUCAAACUUAACAUUUCGGAAUUUACAUCCAAGAUAUAUCAUGAACUUACAUCCAAGUUAUAUAAUUUUCUUCCUCUCUUCUUUCCAUUCGAAUCUUUCCUCCAUCCCUGUUCCUUAAUGUUUCUCCCUCGCCUCUUGGGAGAGUCCUUUUGAUGUAACCUUUUCAUUUCUUAAUUAAAUUCUGAUGGAUCUUCCAUCUUUUACAUAAAAAAAGAAAGGGAAAAAAAGUAACAUCAAUUGAUGAAUCCAGUAUAUCUGCAUCUAUGUGGGGAAAAAACGUAACCAAAUACCGACAUUUUUCAAAAGGUAAAUUAGCAUUAUAUUGCAUGUAGUUGGCUGUAUCAGAUACAGAGACAAAAGUAGGAAUACAUGUUCUCCUAUAUUCUGCAAAGGAUGUAUACAUUCUUAAAGAUCAUUUUUACAUUUAAGUACCUAGAAAGACAUCCAGCUAAUGAAGAUUCUUUCUCUUCCACAAUACUCAUAAAGAAUCCUUCCAUCCACCAACUUAACUUGAUAUUUUCAACGAUAUGGAAUUCAUGCCAUUCAAAUAAUUUAUUUAUUAAAAGAGCAGUGGUGCUAGAACUCAACAAAGUAUCCUAUCCCUAAUUCUUAUAUAUAUAUAUAUAAACACCCCUGCUUCCUGAAGAGGGUGGUUCUGUUGUGCUGGCUGGCUGACAGGAGGUUGUUGUUGCUAGAACUAAAUCUAAUCUAUAAGGCUAAAGAAAAAACGAAUUAAGAAGGAAAAAACUAAAAGUAGCAAAAUCGUCUGUUGACUGGAGGAGCACAAACAAACAUCUCAUUAAAAGGCAAUUUCUGAUGGCUUUUGUGUAAUUAUUUGUAAUAGACGCUCUGCAUCCAUAUACAAUUGAAUCAACAUCAAGGGAACUUAUGAAGGAGUGUUAAACAUAAAAUGACCCAUAUUGUUCCAUACCUUCAAUGACCAGCCCAUAAUACAUCAUAAAAAACAUGUUGUUCCAUGGUGAAGCAGUCAAUUGUUCCAAUAUUACCUGUAAAGACGAUGUUUCUUAUGAUCAUUUAUUCAUUUACAAGCCCACAUUGAUCAGUGUUAAAAUGAAAAAAGGAAGAAAGAAUUGUUGGAAACAAUCAACUACAUAUGCAAAAUACAACUGCAACUUUUCAUGUGUAACUGGCCAGUUAAUUAGAAUUAGAACAUUUAGAACUUACUUUCUUAGCGACCGUCUCUUUGCCUUUCUUUCCCUUGAAAAUAAUCUCCAUAAGCUUGUGCAGAAAGUGACCAAAAGGUCCUGCAUAGGCAAAACCAUAGAGCUGCAAAGCAUCGAUAGAAUUAGGUUUCUUAGAACAGAAUACGCUCUCUGUCAUAUGCAACAAUGAAAUAUUUUCACACUGGCUGUGGAAAGAAAUGCUACUCAAAUUGUUGCUGAAAAUGAAGCCAAAUAUUAUCUGUUCGAUGAGAUCACAUAGGUUAAGUUAGUUUUUCUUGAGAAAGGACAGAAUCUAAAUACUAAAAGGAUAUAAAUGACCGAUAUCAGUACUAAAAUCUUGCUUCCCAGUGCUGAAUGCCUUUACCAUACCACCGACCCCACUGUGUUUGGCACCAAUCCCGGACUGCCACAUCCCAGGUGACCCGAACGGUGAUCAUGAGAGGGUGAUUGAUGGUUAAGGAAAAAGCAAGUUAUAUAUUGAUCAGAUCCGUAACCAAAAGUGUUGAAUACCACUUUAACUAGUAAAAGCAAAAUAACUUAAUCCACCACAUCCAAAGAAAACAGGACUCCACAUAAAAUAUCAAAAUUUCAGUGCUAAUCUAAUGAUUCACCUUCAAAAAUCAUAAUGUUAGUUGCACCAAUAAACCAACGCAAUCAUAAAUUCAAAAUUAACUGAAAUCUAGUUCUGAUAUCAUUAACAAGCUAAAAAUAAUAAACACGAGAAAUAGGUUCCUUAGACUAAAAAAAGGCCUCCGAACAUUUGGAAAAAUGCAGCACAUACAUCAAAGACGAACAGAAUUCGGCUUCUUGGAUCAAAAUGAAGGGUGAGGGACAUUGAAAGUGCACCAUAUGGAAGCUGAGAAAUAUGAUCUAAAAGUGCUUCCAAUUGGAAGAACUUGGCCUUAGAUGAAACCAAUGGCAAAGCAGCGUCUACUUAAAAAGUUAUUCGUGUUAUAGUGAGGACGAUCUUAAACGCUCAAUCCCCAAUCUUCAUCUCCCAUUACAAAAUAUCAAAUCCCAAACAGAAGCGCAAUCGAACAAGAACCCAGCAAGAAACCACUUUUCUAAAUUUUACAUCGCAAAGAAAUAAUCCGAGCGUCAUACCAUGACAAGAAGCAACCUUCUCAAUUGGAGCUUCUUGAUCCCGGAGAUUUUUUGAGCAAUCGCAUCGCUGCAUCCCGCCAAGACCCCAGAAGUUAUUGCCUACAAAGAGGAAGAAUAACAGAUAAACCCAUCCCAUGAAUUCACCACCAAAAGUACCUUUAAAAAAAAAUGCGAAGCAAAGAUACAAAGAGAUACGGAAGGAAAUAAGAGGAAGAAAAAAAACCGAACUUCAUGGAGAAAGGGGGAAAAAGAUCCAACCUUCGUUCUAAGAGGGUGUUCUUGAAGCUGCCCGAGGUAGCGCUUCCAUGCGUCCGACACGAUCUCCGACAUGGCUACCGAACCGGCGGCGCAGAGCACCCUCUCUCUCUCUCUCUUCUUCUUGGGUUUUGGUGGGGGUUUUAGAAGGGUUUUUGGGGGCCUCGGGAAGAGGGGAAGAGGGAGAGGAGAAGGGAGUAAGGGUGGAUCAAAAAUCAAAAAGGUAAGAAGACGAAGAAGAAAGCAAGACCGGGGGUGGGGGGGGUUGAAGGGAGAGGAGAGUUAGGAGAGUAUUUAUUCGAAGCAUCUAAGAAGAUCGGGAGGGGAAGGAGGAAAACGGUCGAGGCCAUGCACAGCAAUCCUUCGCCCCCAACUUUCUUUUUUUUGUCUUUUUUUAAUUGAUGGGACCCAUCCAUCCCGCGUGGUUGGAGUCAAGGACAUUUUUUUACCCAAAAAAAAAAAGUCAAGGACAUUUUUCUUAAUGAAAAAAUAUAAUCUGCUCUUUUUUUUUGGUUAAAAAAUAGGAGGAGGGGGAAGGGGCAGAACCCCACCCGCGUAGCAGCCCCCACUGAGCCCUCCUUCCAUUAGAAAAUAUUCGAUGCAGGUCACAGGUUUCCGCAUGCCCUUCCCAAUCUGUGGAAAACUCCACUGGGCUAUCUCCAUAUAAGUACGUCACCCCAGCACCACCUCAGUACUGAUGGAAGCAAAGCAUAUCCAUACAUAGCCAUCUGAGCUUAUCUGCUUUUGUUUCACAAGGAGUAUCAAAUGUCGUCUAAGUUUUUUCUUUUUUUUAAUAUAUUCAUCACAAAGGUGGCUUGAAGGUGUAUGUCAACCAACCAAAAGAGUACUGGAUGGUAGAGAAGUGAGGUCCCCCUGGGCUCCAUUUUGCGUGGGUGGAGGUAAGGGCAUUUUUCCUAAUUGCAAAAUGUGAUUAGCUUUUGUUUCUCUAGCAGUAUCAAAUGCGUGCGAAUCCUUCAUCAAAAAUAUGGAGUUGAUUAUUUUAUAACGUGUAUGGCAGCCAAUAAAUUCUAAGAGAUCUAAUGUAGAAACGAAAUCAAUCACCUUGGAAAUGAUUUUUGUAGAAUAAUAAAUAAAGUGCCACUCAUAAAAAUUUCUUAUUAAAGAUUAUAACUAUGGUCUCCGCGCAUCAUUUGCAUUUGACUCGUAUGCAAUAGCGAGCACACAUGACCGUCUUUUUGGACUCAGUUUGGUUAGCGCAGCAGAUAUGUGGUCAACAAAAAAAUGAAUAAACAUCUUAUAUUUGAUUAGGGUUGAAAAGGUUGCUUUUUAUGAAAAUAAGAUUCUGACAUUUUAUAAAAAAAAAACACUCAUGCGGGAUAUAAAAAAGUUCAUUCUCACUGAGAAUUAGAGUAUUUUUUUUAAAAAUACUCUUAAGCUCUUUAAGAGAAUGAGAUAAAAAUUUUUUUUAAUAAAAGAUAUAACAGAUAUUUUACAUAAUUUUUCUAAAAAGUUAGCCUUUUAAUUAAAUAUAGACCGCUCUGUAACGUGAUAUUUUUUUCGUUAUUAAUCAGACAUGCUAAAAUCACUUUUCAAAAUAUCAUAUGUCCAGACAUUAGUUUCUCCAUGGACCAAAUGAGUUCUUAAAUUAUUUGAUUGAAAAAUACCAUCUUCCACCUACUAAGUGGCUUGCCAACGUUCAUUAAUCCCUCUAAGUCAACCAAGCAUUGCUGGGAAAACGACCAUAUUAGGUUCUACCCAAACAUGGCUAGUUUUUCCAUAGAGUCAGAAGGAAUUUAAAGAAGAUAACUAACACCGAUGAAGUCAAAAUACAAAUGGCCAUAUUAGGCUCUACACAAACAUGGCUGCCAUAUUAGGGUCAGAAGGAAUUUAAAGAAGAUAACUAACACCAAUGAAGUCAAAAUACAAAUCCCAAAGUAAACGCACAGAACACAAUAUCUAAAUCCAGGAUUUCAACAAAAUCUUGCAACUGCCCUCGAGUGACAAAGACAUCUUCUGACCAGCUCCGAAGUUUGUUUGCUGUGCUGCAGAUCAGAUCAGCUGCAGCGAGACGCAUACUACAGCAAAUGGAGGCUUGACACGAACCAAAACUUGCAGAUGGGCCCACGAGAUGAAGCAUGCAUGACGGACCUUCGCUAAAAGCAAUUCCAAUGGCUGAUUUCAAGUCUUCUCAGUUGGGUCGGACAAGAAAAGUUGGCGAGCAUGAGACCUGUGGACAGAUACAGGAGAGCUGAUCUGGGCCACUGCAUGGAAAAAUUCUCUUCAAGAGGUUUCAGUUAGCUCUACCGGUUGUUGGAAGCUCGCAAUAUUAGCUCCAUCCCUAGUCCUUUUUAAUCUAAAACCUUCAUACUUGGAGCAAUAGAGAACAAGUUGUUGCCCAUAUCACAAUCACCAGUUAUAUCUUCAAAAAAUAUAAAGAACUAACUAAAGUGCCGAUUAGUGUUAUAGGUUUUCAAAUAUCAACCACCCUAUAGUUAAUUUAGAUGCACCUUCUAGUAGUUCUGCUUGAUUAUUUAUUUUGCUAUAGGUCGUAUUUCUGGCUCAUCCAAACCUUCACCAACCUUUUUAAUUUUGAGCAAUUGGCAAAUUACAUAGCUUAACUGGUAGCACAGUGCUUGCAUGGUGUGGGGAGUCAAGCGGCCGGAAGGUGAAACUUUGGAGACCAUGAGGCAUGGGGAUUAUAUUUACGUCUAACCGAUCUUAAUUAACUGUCCAUACAUGCACUAAUCAAAGGAUAAGGUGCCCUUUGCAUGCAUGCUUGUAAUACGAUAGCUCUCAACAAAUGAAAAGCCUGAUGGGAAGUUCUCUGCUCUUGCUCAAAGAUCAAUAGAUAAUGGCUGAACCUAAGAGAAUGACAAGGGACUUGAUCAUUUUGCCAGUUUUUGCCUUGAGGCUUCUUUCAUGCGAACUCUGCUGCUGAACGCAUACAUCUCAUGCCAACACUCUAGAUUUUAAUUGAGAGGGAGGGAAAGGAAAAACUCAAUAAGCUGGAUACCUCCUUUAAGAUUGAGAUUCAUAGAUGCAUGGAUCUUUAUUUACAUAUGCUCCUCCCUUUGAAGGAGACGCUGUAAUAGCAAUGUUAAUUAACAAGGCAAAUGAUCAGAACAAAUUAACUGCAAGGACGAGAUGGAAAUGCUGAUGAGGUGGUGGAAAUUAGCGGUUGUUCUUUGUGUCCAUGGCACGUUUGACAGCCUCGGCAUUGUCUUUGAUGUUUUCCUUUGCGUCUUCAGCCUUGCCAACCACUGCGUCCUUUACUUUCUGGGCGGUUUCUUUAGCGGACCCCCAUGCAUCCUGGGCCAAUUGCUGUGCCUUAACGCUGAGAUCUUGGGUCGUGUCAGCCACCUGCCAAGCCAGGCCAUUAGUGUUUGUAUUUUUUUGGUUGGUGAGCAUGAAGUUUACUUUUGACCUAGAGGUGACAUUUUGGUAGAACUUGGACAAAGGAGAAAGGAAAGUCAUAACAACCUAUAUGCCCCCUAUUUAACGUAGUCUCCAAUGGCCCCAUUUAACUCUUUCUGAGAUAUUGCAAUAUUGGGACCAUUUCUUGGGUCACGUUAUGCUUAGGCAAUGCACAAAGAAGCCAACCUGCAUUCUUUAAACUACAUGCACAAGUCUUGUUCCAAGUUCCUAUGAUCAGCUUUAUGAGUUGCUUAAUUUUUAUCCUGCUGAAGGCGACAGUAGUCGAUGUCAUUGCAAACUAAUACACACACACAAGCACAAAAAAGGUAAAAUAAAAUGGAAAAUAAUAAUAAUAGAAAACAUUGCAAGCUUUUUCUAUUGUAUCUGAUGGCCUCCAUCUCCAUAUUUUAGCUAAUGCCUUUCCAUCCCUCUUCUUAUAUCCCAGAACAUGACAUGACAUCACAUUUACGUUGGGGAGCGAAAGCAGUUUAAUUAAUUAGUGUGCCUAGCAAGAUCUUGCAUAAAGAUGUAAUUUUUUGGAAAUUUCUCCGAGGUUCUUGAAAAAUUUGUGUUCGAAAUGGGAUUGUAGCACUGGUGUGCUUUGGAUACAAGUUGAGCCCACAGGCUCAGAGAACCAAAUAUGAUAGAAUAUAACAAAAAAAUUUAAUGAUUACAGAAAAAAAUACUAGAGACCGGAUAUAGUAUAAUGCAAUAGCAAAAUCUCGUGAUAUGAUUGGGAUACUAAAUUUGAAUAUGACAAUUCGAUCUCAUAAUUUUUUGAGAUUAUCCUAAGCUGAUAUACUAAAAUUGUGCAUGCGAUCUCGGCAAACCGCGCAAGCUAUGCUUACAACUUGAAACCAUAAACACUUGUAAAAAUUACCUGACCGGCAGCCGCACUUGCCACCCCCCUCGUCUUGUCAGCAGACUUCUUCACCUCUCCUGCCACUUCCCCAGCCGCCUCAUCGACGGAUUUCCGAGCGUCACCCGCCAUGCCCUCCUACCAAAACAGAAACCAUUGAUUGAUGAAUCAUAAAACUUGGGAUUCGCUAAUUCUAUAUAUCCACCGGAAGCCAAUGAGGGUCACCUGAGAAGGUUUUGGAGUAGCAGCAGUGACGAGGACCCUCGAGCACGGGUUUCGUCGGACCAUGGCUGGGCUGACAUGGAGAAACUUGGGAAGGGCACCGGUGAAGGUCAUGCUUGCCAUCUUAGCUGCUGCUUCUUCUUCCUGCUCUCUGGUCUUGGUGUUGUAAGAUGUUAGCUGCUUCCAAGGCCAUUUUCACCACCAUAUAUAUAGGUGUCCGUAAGCAUUCUGCUGUCUGCCACGUUGUGCAUGGGGCAUAGGUUUUGGAUUUCCGUUUGUGGGGAUCCAUUAUUCCCGCUUGAGUUAGUUAUUUGCAGUUGCUUCUUCCUUGACCUGCUCCCUUUUAACUAUUUUUUUCAUCCUCAAAAAAUUUAUUUUUGUUUCUCCAAUAUUUUCCCAACAUGAAAUUAUUACCACAGAGAGAUUUAUAUAUCUAAGAUUAAACAUGGAUUUUCGAUUUGGACGACGGACUAUCAAUUUUUAACAUGAGAAAGAUAAAUUGCAUUCUUCUUUUGAGAGAAGCGCAGCCUAUAUAUGCUACUAAAAAUAUCUAGAUACCAAAAAUCAUAUGUUUUAGUGCUCUCUAACCUAUGCAUUAAGUGCAUCUAAGAAUGUACAAUGAAAAUGCUAUAAUUUAAGCAUUAAACACUAUUAAUUUCAAUCUAUACAUGUUUUAGCAUUGUAGAUCAUGCUCAAUGAAGUGAAUUCUCAAUAUAAAAGCUUUAUCAUACACUUUAGUACACUAACAAAAUGAAAAUAAUAUAUUUUUGUGUCUACGUGAUGUAUAUAGGUUGGAGACCACCAAAGGCAUAUGUUUUUGAUUGUUAGAUAAUUUUUCAGUUAUAUAAAUCCUGAUCAACUGUGCAAAUUUUCGAUCUGAAUACUUGAUAAUUGAUUUUAGAUCUGGGAGGAGUAGAUGUCUUCACCUCUUAAGAGAUAAAAAUAUAAUAUGGGAUGGGCUUGAGCCAAAGAUAUCCAACAUUUUCUAUGUAAAGCCACCAUCACAACCUAGCUGGAACAAUGUAAAGCUUGGCUAUUGGGCUACUCAAUUUGCAUCUCUCCCUCUAAAAGGGGAAAGAGAAAAAAAAAAGCCUCUCAAAUAAGUAAAAAGCUUAGGAUAUAUGGGUUUUCUAAAAAAAAAUUAUUGCUCUCCUCCUUUUCCAAAUAUUUCACUUUGCCCAACAAACUCUGUGUUGUUUAUAAUGUUAUAUCCUCUAACUUAUUAAGAUACUACCUUGAGGAUCAUAUAUCUUGAUUUAUGUCAAGUAUUUAAAUAAGUUUAAGAAAACUCUCAUUUAGGAGCUAAGUAACAACAUUAGUUGCCAAAUUCUGUACAAUCUAUCUUGCAGCUAAAAAUUUUUCUUAUUAGAAUAUAUAGGUUUAUAAACUCGUUAGGUGGUUAACUCAUUUACAGAUCAUAUAACAAAUUUUUUGGGGACGAUCUUGCCAUAAUUUAACAUGAAUCUUUUCUACGGAUAGCUUAUAAAUGUUUGAAACAUCAAUAUUUACUGCAUUAUUCACUAAAAAUUAGAUUACUGCCCUAACAUAACAGUGCCUAAUAAUCAUGUCUAUCAAGCCCUUUUUUUCGCUAGCAAGAUACUUAGAAGCAAUGAUUAACACAAAUAGUGUUGCAGUGGUCGGGUUGACCUGAGACCCAACCCAACCUAUUUAUACUCAAUCUAGCCGGUUUUUGAGGACUUAUAGGGCUGAAUCAGGUUCAAAAAUUACACUCAUUCUAAAUUUCGAGUUGGUCUGGAUUUUCUAAACUUUGACCCGGCCUCGCCUGACGCACUAUAUACAUUAUGUGGACCUAAGUUGGGUCUCCUAUCAGUUAUUAGACCCGUUGCGACCCAAACCCAUUUGACCCAUUUAUCCAUGAAAUAGAAAAGGGGUAAGUGAGUCGGUCUCGCCAUCACUACCCACCCCCAAGUCUCGACUCCUGAGGUCUCUAGUUCUCUCUCCCAUUUCCCAAUAUCUCCAGCAUCCUUGAAAUCCGUCAUUCUUUCACCUCAAUCCAACUAUCUGAUUGCAUCGGCUGCCUUCAUGUAAAUCUCCUCCACAUUGUUCUAGCUCCUUGCAAUCCAAGAAGGAGCUCUCUAGUGAAAGAUCAACGGCUCAAGAAAUGGCCAAAGAAGUAGCCGAGCAUGAUAGCAACGAUCACCACUCGCUCCGCUUUGUCGUCCGCUAUACUGAACCUUGCCAUCCUUGGCGCUUUGCCUCCAUCCACAUCUGCCCAAUAUCGCUUCUCCAACGCCUACUACUACUUUUCGACCUGAAGUUCUUCGUCUUUACCACGUCUACUAUUCCCAAACUUGCGUAUACCUACUUUUUCUCUUCAAGCUUCUUAAUCUAUUUCCAUUCUCUUCUUUAAUUAAGACCACUGUAAUUUUUCAUCAAGGUGAGCAUUCUUGCAUUUUCAUUUCUCACUCGCUUUGUACAUCAUCUUGGGUGGUAUAUUACAUCAAAAAAAAUUUUUUUUUUUUGCUUGAUGUCAUGCCCAAUGGAUAUGCACCAAACCCUAAAGAACCAUGUAAGUGUUUUUAAUGGGUUUGUUUCUUCGUUCUCUCUUUUCUUGAUGUCUAGUUGUUUCUUCUCUUCUUUCUAAGCAAGAAAGUUGAAGUCUUUGCCACUUUUAUAUCUAUAUGAUACAUAUCUUUGCGUUCUUUUCAAUAUCAAUAAGUAUUACAUAUAAUAUAAUUAAGGUUUCUCUAGAACUAUUUUUCUUAUUUGGUAUUCUAUUUUAUCUUCUUUUUUUUUCUGAAUAUAUGUCGGAGUCUUUGACCCUAUCCGGCCCGAACGACCUGCUUGGUCUAAAAAAUAUUCAACGAAUCCAACUUGACCAUCUAUUGGGUCAGAUUUUGGUCCUACAUUAAAACCCCAACACAAAGCCAAGUCAGGUUGAGGUCAAGCAAGUCCUGAUGUCCUGAGGUCCUAUAUUAAGAAAUACAUUAAUAUUAUCAAAGUAUUAUGAAGAUAGAUGACAACAUUAUGACAACCACAUAUUCAACUAUUAAUACAUACUCCAUUUAUAUAUACAUAUAUUAGUAAAAAGGGAGAUAAUACAACUAAUUCAAGCAAAGGAGACAAAUCUCACCAUCUAUUUUACGGUGGCUAUGUUACCAACUUUCAAACCAACCAAACACAAAAUGAUUGGAGAUAACUUCCUAUAUUAUACAACCAAACACCCAAAACCAUGAGAGUCACUUUAGGCAACCAUUACACAAAAAACCAAAUAAAAUACUCACUUCUAAAAAGAACAUUUUCUGAAAGUCAGUUUAAAAGAAAAAGAAUGUGAAAGUCAACCAGGAAGGGCCCAUACCGGGGCAUCGCACUUGAUGAAACCCCUGCGCACCUUUUGCUCCUUUUGUGUUUCCUCCAGCUUCUUUUUGAAGGAGAAUUUAGAAUAGAUUCGACUUUUAAUACUUCUUAUCACCAUUCAUUUUGCUGAAAAAUAUCAUGGCACAUUUCAUUUCCAUGAACUAUGGCAUUUUUCAGUCCACAAUUCCUCAUCCACGGACAGUGUCAAGGAACGCAACUACAAAUCAUUUAUUGUCAAGUUCCUGCUGCUAAGAGAUGAUUUGCAUAAACAAGUCAAAAUACAUCCAUCCCCCUCAUGAGACUGCACUAUUUCUCCAAAUCAACACCAAAUUAUAUUGUUUAUAAUUUAACGAAAAAAGUGAAAAAACAAACUACAACCCUCCUCCAGUGUACCAGUCCUAGCCAUCAAAGCAUGACAACCCAUCCUUUCACACACAUAUACCCCUCCAAAACUAUCCAAUCACCUCCCUCUACUUUUUAUUGCUUUCAAACAACCAACCAACAAAAUUUAGAGGACAUUACUUCUUCGUUUAUUUUAACCUGAAAUUUUGUGAGACAACGCUGUCAGCAACACUGCAAGGAUCCAUGCUUACUUCCACAACUUAACAGACUUGUCAUGGCUAGCAGAGGCCACCAUUCCAGUGGCUUGUGACUGUGCCAAUGCCGCUAUCAGACCUUCAUGUGCCUGGACCGUCAUGGUUUGGUUCUCUAUCACAUUCCACAGCUCCAAUGACUGCAAGAAUUGAAAGAAUAAAGAAUUAAAAUUAGCAAAAGCACAUACACAAUCAAAUAAAAAAUCCAAACAGAGUUUGUACCGCCAGCCAGCAAAAAAGAAAUCACAAAAAUGACUAAAAUUUUUUGCCAAGUAUGGCAGGUAGACCUAAACAAUGAAGAGCAAGGGGAAGAAAAGGAAAACAAAGCUGAGCUGCUUCAUGGGCCACCUUGAUUUUGCUUAGUGUUCUAGAUGAGAAAGCAAGAUGUCAUGGUAGUGGAUAACAGCAAACAUAAAGAAGGAUGUAGCUUCUUCCACUUUAAAGAUCAUGUUCAAGGCUAGCAGUGUAGCAAAAUGUAACAUGAAUAUCUGCACGUGCUAGCAGAGCACAUAUGUCCAUAACAUCAUAGACUCUGUUUAGAUGCACGUAAAGUGCUGGUUAAGGGAGAGUUGUUUAACCAGCCAAGGACCAUCCAAAAAGGUGGUGGAUAUUCGGUCAGACUCAAAAAAGUCCCCAACCUAGCUAACUUUAUUUCAGGGAUGAGGGUGAAAUAAAGUUAACCACUCAAAUCUCUCUCUCUCUCUCUCUCUCCCUCUUUACAGUUCACUUUUUUUCACAACUUUAUCCUACUAACCAUAGGAGCACCAACCAAGCUGCGAAUGGCCUUAGAGGGCAUGUUUGUUUUAGAGGAGUUGAGCUCUAGAAUGAGAAUGGGAAUGAGUGACUCUCUUUCCAACCGUUUGGUUGGAAUGAUUUCCAUUCCAAUUCUGAUUCUAGGGAGGAAUGGGAAUGCUCCGAUCCCAUCUCUCUCUGAGUAUUUAAAUCCCAUUCUCAUUCCAAUUUCAAUUCUAAUCACGAACCAAAUGUAUCGGAGAAUAUAGCCAUUCUGAUUCCAUUCCAAUUCCGAUUCCGUCGCAAACCAAACACACCCUUAAUUCAUUGGUUAGCCGGUUGGGGAUGGAUAUUCGUGGUUAAAUCUAUUCAAGGGGUGUUUAGCUAUUCAACAUCCAAGCACAGCCUAGGUUCAUAAUGAACAAGAUAAGCAAUUUUCAACAUAUCCAGAUAUUCAAAGCACCAAAUAGAAUGAAUAGUCUUUUUUAUAAUAAAUAUUAUCCAACACUUCCAUACCAAUUAUACAAAGAUGGAUUUGGAAGGACAAAAGAUCAGAUCAAAUUUUAACAUGAGAAAAAAAUAAAUGGGCCCUAGUUUCUUUAAGUUGGCAGUAAGUCCUAAGGUUGUCAUGCAUAAGCAGAGCAUGGUGGAGCAGCCAAAGCUACACUUAAAGCAUUUAAAAGUACACUAUACAAUGCUCCUAUCAUGGUUAAUUUAUUAAUAGAUGGCAAUUAUAGAUAUUGGGUGUAUAUCACCUUAUUUUUGUCAAUGCAGUUGGAAAUAAAUCACACUUACCUGAUACCCUCCAAUAACCAAAAGGUUAGUAUAGUUUGGAUGAAAAACGCACGAAUGAAACUUGUUUCCAUUGGAGCUUAGUUCAUGAAUGAAGUCUCCCCUUGAUAACGACCACACCUUUACACAAUCCUGACUAACACAUGCUAGGUAUUCCCCACUAUUGUCCCAGCAAAUAGAUUGCACCUCCUUGGUAUGGCCCUGAGAAUAUAAAACAGAAGGGGAUUUACGAAAAUGAAUUGUGAAUUUCAUUGAAUAGAAAAAGUUUAAUUAACCCACUUGGUUAUUUCAAGUUUUUAAGAAAAAAGAAAAAUCUUGUUAUAGACAUUAUUGAUCUAUAUUGAAAGACCUGCAAUGUGUAUGUCUUUCUGUCUGUCUCAACAUCAAAAAUGGACACCACAUUUUCCGCUGCUGCUGCUAAAUACUGGCCAAUGUUAGGCUGAAACCUAACUUGUACUGUACCACCCUGUUUGACCAACAAUAUAGAAUUAGAUGUUAAAGAAAUGAGCAUACUCAACUACAACUAAAGGUAAACAAAUGAAAGCAUAAUCACAAAAUCAGACCUUAGAAACACGUGACAAUGAAAACUGGUUGGCACUCCAGUAUCGAAUUUCACCAUUACCAUCGCAAGAGCAGAAGAUAUCUGUCUUCUUUGGAUGAAAAUCUAGAGAUGUCACUUGGGCGUUGUGCCCAGUGAAUACAUUCAAACAAUAGCUAGGCUGCAAAAGAGGCCAGAAAAUUGCAUUAUAAAGCAGCUCAUUUAUCACAGUGGGAUACUCAACAUGCAUUUUUCAAACUAGCAGAGAAAGUCAUAAGCCAUAUUUUAAAUAAAACUUCCAAUUAUCUAUCUACAGAUAUCAAAACAUUAAGAUCUCUACUAUGACAUAGUGUAGAAAAAAAUUAUCAGCUCGAAAAAACCCUCAGAACUUCAUAGCUGGAAGCACAAGGUACCAGUCUACCAGUAAAUAAAGGUUGGGUUUCAAUGUAGUUAUUUGAUCAAGAUUUACCCAGCAGGCAGACAUAGACAGAUUGUUGAUUAGAUUCAGUAGAAGGAUGGAAGAAACAAUUAUAGCUCAAUAAAAUAUAAUCAAUGAGAAAACAAAAUUGACCAGUUGGUCAUGAUAAUGGCAUUCUUAAAAAACUUUAUUUGCCACAAUCUGUUCAAAACAAAGCACCUAAAGAAUCAAAUCCACAUUAGCAAGAUUCAAGAAGAGAAUUUAAGUUUGUAGUUGAGAAAGGGAAACGAGAAGUGAAUAAGACUAAUUUAAGUUAAAAAUGUAAUUAUUUUAACACGACAAAUUAGUGAUUAAAGUUCUUAAACAACAUCAACACAAUGGUCUCACUGAAAGACUUUUUGUACACAAAUUUAAGUAAUUCAAACAAUGAUAACAAGUAUCCAUGUUUGUAUCCUACAUCAUGUCCAUUAGGGCAACCAGCCUAUGAACCAUCUUGCAAAUCAGCCUGUUCAUAGAAGUAUUCUGUUCAAUGGAUCCGUAAAUUUGAUACUUGCCUAACUCAGCCUCUUUAAUAUGCUGUUAAACAAAGUCUGCACAUCAUAUUUCCAGAUUUCAAAAGUCUAUUUUUUAACAAAAAGUAUGGGCAGAUCUUCGAUGCACCCUUGGUUUUUUUUUUCACUGGAAGGCUUCAGAAUUAUUAUCAGCUUAACUUAAGCCUCUAUAAUCUAUAAUGUGCUCAUAAAUAAAGUGUGCACAUCAUGUUUCCAGAUUUAGAAAGUCUUUUAAAAAAAAAUUGUAGAUCUUCUGUGCACCCUUGAUUUUUUUUGCACUAGAAGGCUUCAUAAUUAUUAUUAGCUUUAAGUAUUGAAGGAAAUGUAUUGUCCAAAUCACUCUGAUAACUUUGAUGCCUGAUUUAUAAUCAUGCAUAAACACAUUAGUACAUUUGUCUCUUUUUCAACUGACAAUAUUAUCUAUCAUCUUACAAAAUAAUGGAACCAGUUCUUCUCACCGUUCUUCCCAAAAUCUGUACAGAUUGAUUUUGUAUCAACCACAGAAAUAUAUAGAGGGAGGGAGAAAGGGAGAGGGAGGGAGAAAGGGAGGGAGAGGGUGGGGAAGAGAGAGUACAGCAGUCCAGCAUUUGGAAAGAAAUUCAUCAGUCCAGCAUUUGGAAAGCCAAAAUUAUAGUGACAUCUUGGCUAGGAAAGAAUCUUCUAUGCUAUUCAUACAUAUUAGUCUGAUAGCUUCUUUAUUAGCUCGUUUUCCCUAAAAAUCUUCCAAUAUUUAGAUGCCCGUAUACUUUCAACAUUUUUUAAGCUUUAGUAAUGAAACAGACCUCAAUAUCCUGGCUAGUGAUAUCUGGCAAAUGCUUGAGAUAUAGUAAAUUCUUGCUCCGAAAAGAAAAAGAACUCUUGAGAUGGUAUAUUGACAUCACAACCUACUAAGGCUGCAUGAUUAUGGUGAGUAAAACCAACCAAAACAGUUUGAUUACUGCACAUAUACACUAAAUAAUUAGAAGAAACAGGAGACAAAAGUGAAUUUUGCAAGACAACUAGGACUAUUAGCCUAUUGCUCGCAUUAGAGAACCAAAAGUUAUAUCUACAAAUAAAACAAGUCAAUAGCAGCAGUUUGUAAAGUAUGUGAGAAAAGACAUAUUAAGCAGGUUGGCUUCUAUGCAUUAGAAAAAGAGAAAAAGAAGAGAAAAAAAAUGCAAUUAUAAGAAAAAGGAACACUUGAUUAUUAAAUGUGUUUCUUUUAAAGUUGCAAAAGUUUACAUCUGCUGCAUUCCACAGUCGCACUGUGCCAUCAAAAGAAGAUGUUGCCAGCUGAGUUGAGUUGGGCCUAAAACGAACAUCUGUAAUAAUUUGAGUGUGUUCUUCAGGAGUGCUCUCAGUCUGAAGGGUAUCCAUGUUCCAGAGAAUAACCUGCACAUAAAAUGCACAUUGAUAAGAAAACCAAAACG
rnacentral:lncRNA from 1 species